rnacentral:rRNA from 1 species
UGGGGAAUAUUGCGCAAUGGGGGGAACCCUGACGCAGCCAUGCCGCGUGAAUGAAGAAGGCCUUAGGGUUGUAAAGUUCUUUCGGUAUUGAGGAAGGUUGAUGUGUUAAUAGCACAUCAAAUUGACGUUAAAUACAGAAGAAGCACCGGCUAACUCCGUGCCAGCAGCCGCGGUAAUACGGAGGGUGCGAGCGUUAAUCGGAAUAACUGGGCGUAAAGGGCACGCAGGCGGUUAUUUAAGUGAGGUGUGAAAGCCCUGGGCUUAACCUAGGAAUUGCAUUUCAGACUGGGUAACUAGAGUACUUUAGGGAGGGGUAGAAUUCCACGUGUAGCGGUGAAAUGCGUAGAGAUGUGGAGGAAUACCGAAGGCAAAGGCAGCCCCUUGGGAAUGUACUGACGCUCAUGUGCGAAAGCGUGGGGAGCAAACAGGAUUAGAUACCCUGGUAGUCCACGCUGUAAACGCUGUCGAUUUGGGGGUUGGGGUUUAACUCUGGCGCCCGUAGCUAACGUGAUAAAUCGACCGCCUGGGGAGUACGGCCGCAAGGUUA